AAUGCUUGGACAUACAGUGUAUUUCAGGUGGCAUUCUACAACACCUGAUCAUUAACAGAGAUUAUAAUAGGUAGUGUUCUCCAACGGAGGCAGAAAUUGGGACGCCUAGACUCCCAUAGUCAAAGCCAUGAGCGAGACAGUGUUUCCGAGGUGAGAGAUGGGGCUAGGGUGGAUUCCCUGAUUGGGAGGGACAAGCCACUUGAGGACAGUGGCGGGGGUGGCCCGGGAUGGAGGCAGAUCCACGCAGCUGGGAGCGUAGCCGGAGCUUACUGUGUGGGGAAUGGGAAACGUCCAAAGAGGCCAGGCCCACCGGCCUCCUCGUGGGGAGCGAUGGGUUCUUGGGGCUCCUCCCUGGCGUGUCAGUCCCCGUCUUCUCCGUGGGGCUUUUGGCUGGAACCAGCCUCCUUUCCACAUUUUCCUUGCUGGUGUUGGCCGCCUUGCCAGGCAUGGACAACAUGGAGUCCGCGUGAUCUUUGCCUUUUGUCAUGGCGCUGAUGUAGUGCACAAAGAAUUUCAUCUUACUCACCAAGCCAGACUCUGGAAGGCUGGGCCUCUUGUGAGAAUGGGCUGGCGUCACCUGCCCCUGCAAAACCCGACUUUGCAAGGUUUGGCCCUUGAAAGGCUUGUGCGGAGUCGGUUGGCCCGGGAAAGGCUGGCCCUGGGAAGCCUGGCCCACUGCAGGAUGGAAAUUCUCAGGAACCUUCGCAGUUCCCAUGAAUGCCAGCUUCCUUGAGGCUUGGAGAAGAGUGCGCUCGUGCUGCCCGGAACACCCGCGGCACUCGAGCCGUCUGGAGGUGAUCGGACCGGUGCUCUGGGACGCUCGCGCCGCCAGUUGACUGCGAAGCUGACUGAGUUAAAUAUUUCUGAUCUGUUAAUUGCCACAGUGUGGGGCCAGAUGUCCAUAAAAGCUCUCUGGAGUCCUGGAAAACCAGCUUCCGACUCCGUCCGAAAGGCACACUUGCUGGGGACAGCAUUCCUAGAGGAGAGGAGCUCUGGAAUGGUUUCGAGAAAGUGGGAGAGAUCUGGUUGUUUCUACCCACAAGCAACUGCUGAAUCUCCAGAGCCGUAGCGUUGCAGAUACGGCAGGAGGGAUCUGCACACAGAAGCCGCCGCACACUUCCUUCCUGGGGAAGCCACUCCUGACUGAAAGGAAAGGCGGAAAACAUUAAUGAGGGGGGACAUCUCCCUCCGUGGAAGAACGUGGCCUGGGGAUUCCUGCCUCUCACCUCAGGUCCUGCAAGCCCUGGCCCUACAUUCACUGUGGAAACAGGUCCUUGUGGAAACCCUUAAGAACACGGGGUAUCCCUGCCAUGGCACUCUGCAUCCAUGGGGAAUCAGCCCCUCUCUAGAAAUCCUGAGGCAGAGAUAAGAUCAUGGGCUGCUGUGCGCGAGUGUCCCUGGCACUGGCCUCCCUGAAGACAGACCAGCGGAGGUGGCAUCAGCAAGGUCCUGCAGACCCAGGUCUCUAGCCCUGAGCCUGUGGCUAUAAGGAGUGCACGACAAUGAUGAUUUGUUCAGCAAAGUACAUUAUUUUGCGGGGGAGAGGGUACUGGGGAUUAUCCUCAGGGCCUUCGCACUGAGCUGCAUACCCAGCCCCAGUUUUACAUUUUUUUUAAAAAAUAGGGUCUCACUAAGUUGCCCUAGAGUAGUUCAAACUUGUGAUCUUCACAGAGUGCUGGAAUUGCAGGCGUGCACCACCUCACCCAGCCAAAACCGAUUCUCGUGGCUAGGUAAUCUGCUUCAUGGCUGAGUGUUGCCCUAUAUAAUGCCUCUUAUUAACAAUAUACAGGCAGGGGCUGGGGAUUUAGCUCAGCGGCACAGUGCCUGCAUGGCAAGCGCGAGGCCGUGAGUUCAAUUCCCGGUACCGGAAAAAAUAAAAAAAUAAAAUAUACAGGCAAAAUCUUGAACUGUAGAACUACCGCGACCCUGGCACAGUGCAGAACUGAGUGGUUCUUCCCUCUUGAGGUGUCUAAGCCACCCUAUGCCCCGACAACGCGAUCCCUGAAAAGCCUCAGUUUACGUCUCACUGCCAGUCACGAACCCUUACUACUCAUCUCUGCCCUGGGGACAGGCCAGGAGCUCGUAGUGCAGGCCUGGGGCUGGGAGACGAGAGAGCAAAAGCAGUCACCUUUCCAUGAGAGACACUAGCUUCUGCAGCCUCUCAGCUUCUUUCUGGGAGGAUCCCUUAGCUGAGGAACAAGAGAUCAUGGUGAGCAGACAGUGGAGGAUUCGGGGACAUCCGCAGACAGCUGAAGGUCUUUGAAUGAGAGGAAAGGGGAAACCCAGGAACUAACCCCUGUGUUACACGUGUGUACACUUGGUCAUUUACCACGUGUUGCUGACACCUAAUCUCGCUUGAACUCUACCCCAGCUGGGGGUGAGGCAGGGUCACUGGUGCCGCGGCCAGUCUCAGGGAGAGCAAGCCUGAGAGAUGAAGCGACUUCCGGGGGAUGUAACCCUAGCAAACCACACAGUUAUGACGUCUGCUCUACUUCCUCAUUCUUCAUUCUCAGGGAGAGAAUUUGGAAUGUUCCUGCCUCUGAUUUCCCACCCACGUGAGUCUUCUGUCAGCAUCGUCUUCAGGGAUGUUAUAGGCUUCAGCAGGGAGAGCACCCGCUCUGGCACCGCUCUCAGGGUCCGGCCAGUAUCUUGGGAACCUCAUGCCCGCCGAAUGGCUCUGAGGAGGGGCUGAACUUUACCUCUCAAUGUUGCCUCUCCGGACCUCUGUUUGACUCUUUGGUGAUGCUUAAAGACAAAAACAUUAGAAUGUGAAGCUGGGUCAUGGUUUCCUUAUGUGUAAAAUUAUACAAAACCUAUAAAAGUUUCCUGAUCUUUUUUUCUAUUCCAGUUUUAAACUUUGCUACCUUCUUCAUAUCCUAUCCUGUUCACACCAGCCUUUCCUUCUCUGCUUAUCUCUGACUCACUGUGAGCUUCUUCCAUACUUUAUACCUUGCACGCUUGUUCCAUGGACAAAGUCUAUAGGGAAUUCUA
ensembl:lincRNA